GAUCUCCACAAAGCCUGGAUAAAAUUUCUAUUACUUUAUCUUGGACUAGGGGAGAUCCCUCACAGAGGCAAUGUAUAAGAGGCUCUAAACUAGACGGAACUUCAGCAAGGGCACUCCAUGGGUUGUACGACAAUUGUGUGCCUUGUUUUGUCCUAGCAAGAAGUGCAAUAGCAUCUAAAGAAUCUGCAGCAUCAGUUCCAUCUGCAUUCAUCGCUUUUAAGGAUUCUGCAAUAGCCAGUCCAUGGGUUGUACGACAAAUGUGUGCCUUGUUUUGUCCUAGCAAGAAGUGCAAUAGCAUCUAAAGCAUCUGCAGCAUCAGUUCCAUCUGCAUUCAUCGCUUUUAAGGAUUCCGCAAUAGCCAGAACAGCAAAUCGACACUGAGCAGUUCCUAUCAGUACAUCUCCCACUGGAAAAUGCAUCAAUAGCUGAUGAAGCGCACGUGACGCAUUUUUUUUACCUUC
rnacentral:lncRNA from 1 species